rnacentral:rRNA from 1 species
UACGGAGGGAGCAAGCGUUACUCGGAAUUAUUGGGCGUAAAGGGCGCGUAGGCGAUUUGAAAAGUCUUGUGUGAAAGCCCCGAGCUUAACUCGGGAAGUGCACAAGAGACUGUUGAAUUUGAGUUCCGGAGAGGAAGGCAGAAUUCCCGGUGUAGCGGUGAAAUGCGUAGAUAUCGGGAGGAAUACCAGUGGCGAAGGCGGCCUUCUGGACGGACACUGACGCUGAGACGCGAAAGCGUGGGGAGCAAACAGG